rnacentral:sRNA from 1 species
UUGUCGCGUUCGCUGUGCAUACGGUGCACAC